UAUUUUUGGCAGACAUGAGUGUCUCAUUAUACUGCCCAGACUGGCCUCAAACUCCUGGACUCAAGGAAUCCUCUUGCCUCAGUCUCCUAAAUUGCUAGGAUUACAGGCGUGAACCACUGCGCCCAGCCCCUUUCUUCAUUACUGUGCUUCCCUCCCUAAUUCUGUACAUAUCUCUCAUUCUCCCCUUCUCUCUAUGUUCGUUUUUCUUUUUCCCUGGGAUUCUGCUCCAUAUUUUGUACAUCUCUCUUCUCCUGUUGUUUAUCUCCUUCUUCCCUCUAUUCCUUCUCUUCCCCCUCCUCUGCUCCAUUCUCGCAACUUUUUUAACCUCUUGUUGCUCCUUCUCCCCAAUCUUUAGAUCGUCCUCGAUCUCCAUCUAUUUCUGCCUCUUCUCCCAUCUCUGCUCCUCCUCUGCUCUCCCUGUUAAAUUCUGUCUUCCCUGUUGUACCCCCCUGUCCCCACUCUCUGGCAUCCCAGAUCCCCAGGUGUCCUCCCUGCUGUGAUUCUCCCUCUGUUCUCCUUGCCACCAGCACCACUCUGCUCUGUCUGCCCCAGCUCCAAAUCCCUCCCUCCUCUCCCUCACUCUGAUGAGCCUCCCUCUUUCCUGCCCCUCUCCCUACAUUGCUGUUCUUCAUCUCUCUGUACGUUUAGUUUUUCUCUACACUUCUCCAGUUGUUUUUCUCCUUUUGCUUUCUUAUCUUUUUUUCACUUUUGCUGUCUCUUGGCAAAUCCCUCACCCAUCCUCUACUUUGCCAUCGGUUAUGGGUCUUUUUCAUUCUUCUUUCCUCUGUCUCAGGUUUUCUAUGGCUCUCUGACUCCGUCUGUCUGUCUCCUGAUCCCUUUGGCCCAUACAAUCACAGGAGAAUUUAGAGUAAGACGCCUGCAUCCCUGAGAAGUGCAUUUUCCAGGGUCUAGAGCUGGGCAAGCAAGAGCACCCGUGUCACAGGACAGGCCCUGGGCACCCCGCGGGCUCAGGGGAAGCGGUGACUAGCAGUAGAGACCUGUGGAGCACCAGGGCCCCGCACGAGGAAGGAGGUGGGGGGCGACGGCGCCUUAAGACAAGGAUAAGAGCUGCAGGAUCCCAGGACCAGGCAGAGGACGCCGCCUCCCCGGGGCUGGGGCCACCGCGCUGCGCUACAGGGGCCGACUAGGGCGAGGGUGGGAGGGGCCCAGGGUGAGAAUCUGCCUCCCGGGUGAGGACUUUGAAAAGCACGGGGCAGGAGGAGUCAGAAAAAGUUUUGAGCAGGAAAACUACCAGACAGGAAGUGUACAGAAGCACCCGGGACCUGGGAAGCGCAGACCUAAUACAAGACAGAGAGAAACUCACGCGCCGGCGGUGGGACCUUCCCUCCACGUGAUCCGCUUCCGGGUUUGUGCAAAUCUGCCCAGGCAGAACAGAAGCCAGGCCUGGGCGGGACCCGCGAGGAGGAAAUCAGGGACCCUGAAAGGAGGGACCAGCUGAAGCUGCAGCAGAAAAACAUAGAUUGUGAAGAUUUCAUGGACAUUUAUUAGUUCCCCAAAUUAACACUUUUAUAAUUUCUUACACCUAUCUUUACUAUAGUCUCCGAACAUAAAUUGUGAAAAUUUCAUGAACACUUAUCACUUCCCCAAUCAAAACUCUUGUGAUUUCCUAUGCCUGUUUUUACUUCAAUCUCUUAAUCCCGUCAUCUUUGUAAACUCAGGAGCAUGAAUGUCGACUCA